GACGAACGCUGGCGGCGUGCUUAACACAUGCAAGUCGAACGAAGUGGCGAACGGGUGAGUAACGCGUAAUCAACCUGCCCUUCAGAGGGGGACCACAGUUGGAAACGACUGCUAAUACCGCAUACUGCAGGAGGGGAUUGCGUAUGAUUAGCUAGGUGGAGGGGUAACGGCCCACCAAGGCGAUGCUCAGUGGCCGGACUGAGAGGAUGAGCGGCCACAUUGGGACUGAGACACGGCCCAGACUCCUACGGGAGGCAGCAGUGGGAAAUCUUCCGCAAUGGACGGAAGUCUGACGGAGCAACGCCGCGUGAGUGAUGACGGCCUUCGGGUUGUAAAGCUCUGUUGAUAGGGACGCGGUACCGGAAUAGAAAGGCACGGCUAACUACGUGCCAGCAGCCGCGGUAAUUC
rnacentral:rRNA from 1 species